UACGUAGGGGGCAAGCGUUGUCCGGAAUCAUUGGGCGUAAAGAGCGUGUAGGCGGCCCGAUAAGUCCGCUGUGAAAGUCCAGGGCUCAACCCUGGAAUGCCGGUGGAUACUGUCGGGCUCAAAUCCGGAAGAGGUGAGUGGAAUUCCUGGUGUAGCGGUGAAAUGCGCAGAUAUCAGGAGGAACACCGAUGGCGAAGGCAGCUCACUGGGACGGUAUUGACGCUGAGACGCGAAAGCGUGGGGAGCAAACAGG
rnacentral:rRNA from 1 species